CCUACGGGAGGCAGCAGUCGAGAAUCAUUCACAAUGGGGGAAACCCUGAUGGUGCGACGCCGCGUGGGGAAAUGAAGGUCUUCGGAUUGUAAACCCCUGUCAUGUGGGAGCAAAUUAAAAAGAUAGUACCACAAGAGGAAGAGACGGCUAACUAUGUGCCAGCAGCCGCGGUAAUACAGAGGUCUCAAGCGGUGUUCGGAAUCACUGGGCGUAAAGCGUGCGUAGGCUGUUUCGUAAGUCGUGUGUGAAAGGCGCGGGCUCAACCCGCGGACGGCACAUGAUACUGCGAGACUAGAGUAAUGGAGGGGGAACCGGAAUUCUCGGUGUAGCAGUGAAAUGCGGAGAUAUCGAGAGGAACACUCGUGGCGAAGGCGGGUUCCUGGACAUUAACUGACGCUGAGGCACGAAGGCCAGGGGAGCGAAAGGGAUUAGAUACCCUUGUAGUC
rnacentral:rRNA from 1 species